GACGAAGGUGGCGAGCGUUGUUCGGAAUCACUGGGCGUAAAGCGCACGUAGGCGGCUUGUUAAGUCAGGGGUGAAAUCCCGGAGCUCAACUCCGGAACUGCCUUUGAUACUGACGAGCUUGAGUUCGGGAGAGGUGAGUGGAACUGCGAGUGUAGAGGUGAAAUUCGUAGAUAUUCGCAAGAACACCAGUGGCGAAGGCGGCUCACUGGCCCGAUACUGACGCUGAGGUGCGAAAGCGUGGGGAGCAAACAGG
rnacentral:rRNA from 1 species